rnacentral:rRNA from 1 species
GACGUAGGGCGCGAGCGUUGUCCGGAUUUAUUGGGCGUAAAGAGCUCGUAGGCGGUUUGUCGCGUCGAAUGUGAAAACCCGGGGCUCAACCCCGGGCCUGCAUUCGAUACGGGCAGACUAGAGUUCGGUAGGGGAGUCUGGAAUUCCUGGUGUAGCGGUGAAAUGCGCAGAUAUCAGGAGGAACACCGGUGGCGAAGGCGGGAUCCUGGGCCAGUACUGACGCUGAGGAGCGAAAGCGUGGGGAGCAAACAGG